rnacentral:rRNA from 1 species
AGAGUUUGAUCCUGGCUCAGAAUCAACGCUGGCGGCGUGCCUAACACAUGCAAGUCGAACGAGAAAGUGGAGCAAUCCAUGAGUAAAGUGGCGACCGGGUGAGUAACACGUGACUAAUCUACCCUUGAGUGGGGAAUAACCUUCCGAAAGGAGGGCUAAUACCGCAUAAAGUCCAGAGGCUGAAAUGCCAUUGGACCAAAGGAGCAAUUCGCUUAAGGAGGAGGUCGCGGUUGAUUAGCUAGUUGGUGGGGUAAUGGCCCACCAAGGCGAUGAUCAAUAGCCGGCCUGAGAGGGCGCACGGCCACACUGGAACUGAAACACGGUCCAGACUCCUACGGGAGGCAGCAGUGGGGAAUUUUGCGCAAUGGGGGAAACCCUGACGCAGCAACGCCGCGUGAAGGAUGAAGGUCUUUGGAUUGUAAACUUCUUUCGUCCGGGAAGAUAAUGACGGUACCGGAAUAAGAAGCCCCGGCUAACUUCGUGCCAGCAGCCGCGGUAAUACGAAGGGGGCGAGCGUUGUUCGGAAUUAUUGGGCGUAAAGGGAGCGUAGGCGGUUCGAUAAGUCACUUGUGAAAUCUCUGGGCUCAACUCAGAGUCUGCAAGCGAAACUGUCGGGCUUGAGUAUGGGAGAGGUGAGUGGAAUUCCUGGUGUAGCGGUGAAAUGCGUAGAUAUCAGGAGGAACACCUGUGGCGAAAGCGGCUCACUGGACCAUUACUGACGCUGAUGCUCGAAAGCUAGGGGAGCAAACAGGAUUAGAUACCCUAGUAGUCC